rnacentral:rRNA from 1 species
CUACGGGUGGCACCAGUGGGGAAUAUUGCACAAUGGGCGCAAGCCUGAUGCAGCAACGCCGCGUGAGUGAUGAAGGCCUUCGGGUCGUAAAACUCUGUCCUAGGGGAAGAAACAAAUGACGGUACCCUGGGAGGAAGCCCCGGCAAACUACGUGCCAGCAGCCGCGGUAAUACGUAGGGGGCAAGCGUUAUCCGGAAUCACUGGGCGUAAAGGGUGCGUAGGCGGUUUAACAAGCCAGAGGUGAAAGGCAUUAGCUCAACUAAUGUAAGCCUUUGGAACUGUUUAACUUGAGUACAGGAGAGGUAAGUGGAAUUCCUAGUGUAGCGGUGAAAUGCGUAGAUAUUAGGAGGAACACCAGUGGCGAAGGCGACUUACUGGACUGAAACUGACGCUGAGGCACGAAAGCGUGGGGAGCAAACAGGAUUAGAUACCCCCGUAGUC